rnacentral:RNase_P_RNA from 1 species
UAAGUGGGACGGAUGGUCGCGCGGGGAAUCCCCGUGAGGAAAGUCCGGGCUUCGCAGGGCAGGAUGCCGGAUAACGUCCGGUGGAGGCGACUCCAAGGCUAGUGCAACAGAAAUAUACAGCCGCGCAAGCGGUAAUGGUGGAAAGGCGGUGUAAGAGACCACCGCCCGGCUGGUAACAGCCGGGGCUCUGUAAACCCCAUCCGAAGCAAGACCAAACAGAAGACGACAGGCUUGCCCGGCCUGUCUUCAGGUAGGUCGCUUGAGCCUGCUGGUAACAGCAGGACCAGAUAGAUGAUCAUCCCGGCCGGCAUUGCCGGCUAUGACAUAACCCGGCUUAUAGUCCCGCUUAUGUA